UACGUAGGGUGCGAGCGUUGUCCGGAAUUAUUGGGCGUAAAGGGCUCGUAGGCGGUUUGUCGCGUCGGGAGUGAAACACCGGGCUUAACUCGGUGCUUGCUUUCGAUACGGCAGACUAGAGGCAUGCAGGGGAGAGUGGAAUUCCCGGUGUAGCGGUGAAAUGCGCAGAUAUCGGGAAGAACACCUAUGGCGAAGGCGCUCUGCGG
rnacentral:rRNA from 1 species